rnacentral:lncRNA from 1 species
CACCGAAAAGGUCAUAUUAUGAACCCUAACGUGCGUCUGUGAGACUUCAGCAUUCAUCAUCAUCUGCUAAUGCAGCCGUCAGCAAAAUAAGUAAGCAUGAUUUGCCAAAAACAAAUACAACAAGCACCGAGCAAAUACACUAUUUCACGAAGCAGACAGUCUAGCAAACAGACAGACAAACAAAUUUUAAGAAAGUACCUGAGAAACUCAGUGUAGCGACGGUAGUAAAAAUGUACGUAUAAAAAAUUCAACGCGGGUAAGACGAGAAGAUUCAACUCCCAAGCAAGAAGUUGUUGUUGUGGUUGUUUCUAUACUUUUGCGUGAAGUCAACUUCGAAUGAUGGACCACAUAAAUUUGCAAGCAAACCAGCGGCAACAUAAGGAAAUAGCAAAGGCGGAAUGCGAUAAAAAAGUCAUAAUCAAACGCUACAUACCAAGAAUACACGUAAUAUAACUGUUUUAUAUCUAUUUUUUAAUAACUUUUUAUUUUCAUUUUUAUGCAAGCGUAUUUAGCUUUGAAUGGUGCUGAAUCAGCACAAAAAAAGGGUAUGUAGCAGAGAGAACACCACAAUAAUACACAAAAGUCAAAGAAGUACAGAAGCCGCGUCGGACGAGAAUAUUUUAUU